UACGAAGGGUGCAAGCAUUACUCGGAAUUACUGGGCGUAAAGCGUGCGUAGGUGGUGAGUUAAGUCUGUCGUGAAAGCCCCGGGCUCAACCUGGGAAUGGCGAUGGAUACUGGCUCGCUAGAGUGCGGUAGAGGAGAGUGGAAUUCCCGGUGUAGCAGUGAAAUGCGUAGAGAUCGGGAGGAACAUCAGUUGCGAAGGCGGCUCUCUGGACCAGCACUGACACUGAGGCACGAAAGCGUGGGGAGCAAACAGG
rnacentral:rRNA from 1 species